ACCGUGAAAGCGUGGCCUAUCGAUC
rnacentral:snRNA from 1 species